rnacentral:rRNA from 1 species
AUACGUAGGGGGCGAGCGUUGUCCGGAAUGAUUGGGCGUAAAGGGCGCGUAGGCGGCGCGGUAAGUCUGGAGUGAAAGUCCUGCUUUCAAGGCGGGAAUUGCUUUGGAUACUGCCGCGCUUGAGUGCAGGAGAGGUUAUCGGAAUUCCCGGUGUAGCGGUGAAAUGCGUAGAGAUCGGGAGGAACACCAGUGGCGAAGGCGGGUAACUGGACUGCAACUGACGCUGAGGCGCGAAAGUGUGGGGAGCAAACAGGAUUAGAUACCCUGGUAGUCCACACCGUAAACGAUGAAUGCUAGGUGUAAGAGGUAUCGACCCCUUUUGUGCCGGAGUCAACACAAUAAGCAUUCCGCCUGGGGAGUACGGCCGCAAGGUUGAAACUCAAAGGAAUUGACGGGG